rnacentral:rRNA from 1 species
AGUGAACGCUGGCGGUAGGCCUAACACAUGCAAGUCGAACGGCAGCACAGUAAGAGCUUGCUCUUACGGGUGGCGAGUGGCGGACGGGUGAGGAAUACAUCGGAAUCUACUUUUUCGUGGGGGAUAACGUAGGGAAACUUACGCUAAUACCGCAUACGACCUACGGGUGAAAGCAGGGGAUCUUCGGACCUUGCGCGAUUGAAUGAGCCGAUGUCGGAUUAGCUAGUUGGCGGGGUAAAGGCCCACCAAGGCGACGAUCCGUAGCUGGUCUGAGAGGAUGACAGGCACCACUGGAACGGAAGCCCGGCCCAGCCUCCUGGGGGGGGCGCAAGGGGGGAUUAUGGGAGAAGGGGCGAAGGCCUUACCCCGCCUUCCCGGGGGGUGGAGAAAGGCCUUGGGUUUGUAAGACCUUUUUGUUGGAAAAAAAAAACACCAGUUAAAUCCCCCCUUGUCCUGACGGAACCAAAAAAAAAAGCCCCGGCAAACUUCGUC